AACGAACGCUGGCGGCAUGCCUAACACAUGCAAGUCGAACGAUCCCUUCGGGGAUAGUGGCGCACGGGUGCGUAACGCGUGGGAACCUGCCCUUAGGUUCGGAAUAACUCAGAGAAAUUUGAGCUAAUACCGGAUAAUGUCUUCGGACCAAAGAUUUAUCGCCUUUGGAUGGGCCCGCGUUGGAUUAGCUAGUUGGUGGGGUAAAGGCCUACCAAGGCGACGAUCCAUAGCUGGUCUGAGAGGAUGAUCAGCCACACUGGGACUGAGACACGGCCCAGACUCCUACGGGAGGCAGCAGUGGGGAAUAUUGGAAAAUGGGCGAAAGCCUGAUCCAGCAAUGACGCGUGAGUGAUGAAGGCCUUAGGGUUGUAAAGCUCUUUUACCCGGGAUGAUAAUGACAGUACCGGGAGAAUAAGCCCCGGCUAACUCCGUG
rnacentral:rRNA from 1 species